rnacentral:rRNA from 1 species
CAGGCCUAACACAUGCAAGUCGAGGGGUAACAGGGGGUGCUUGCACCUUGCUGACGACCGGCGCACGGGUGCGGAACGCGUAUCGAACCUGCCCCCUUCAGGGGAAUAGCCCAGAGAAAUUUGGAUUAAUGCCCCAUGGCACCACUUUGUUGCAUGACAAUGUGGUUAAAGAUUUAUCGGAAGGGGAUGGCGAUGCGUGCCAUUAGCUUGUCGGUGGGGUAACGGCCCACCGAGGCAACGAUGGCUAGGGGCCCUGAGAGGGGGAUCCCCCACACUGGUACUGAGACACGGACCAGACUCCUACGGGAGGCAGCAGUGAGGAAUAUUGGACAAUGGCCGGAAGGUUGAUCCAGCCAUGCCGCGUGCAGGAUGACCGCCCUAUGGGUUGUAAACUGCUUUUACAUGGGAAGAAACCUCCCCUCGUGAGGGGAGCUGACGGUACCAUGGGAAUAAGGACCGGCUAACUCCGUGCCAGCAGCCGCGGUAAUACGGAGGGUCCGAGCGUUAUCCGGAAUCAUUGGGUUUAAAGGGUCCGUAGGCGGGCCUGUAAGUCAGGGGUGAAAGGCCACGGCUCAACCGUGGGACUGCCCUUGAUACUGCAGGUCUUGAGUCGUUGUGGGGUUGCCGGAACAUGUGGUGUAGCGGUGAAAUGCAUAGAUAUCACAUAGAACACCGAUCGCGAAGGCAGGUGACCAACAACGUACUGACGCUGAGGAGCGAAAGAAU